GAUGAACGCUAGCUACAGGCUUAACACAUGCAAGUCGAGGGGAAACGGCAUUGAGUGCUUGCACUCUUUGGACGUCGACCGGCGCACGGGUGAGUAACGCGUAUCCAACCUUCCCAUUACUGUGGGAUAACCUGCCGAAACGCAGACUAAUACCGCAUAGUCUUCGAUGACGGCAUCAGAUUUGAAGUAAAGAUUUAUCGGUAAUGGAUGGGGAUGCGUCUGAUUAGCUUGUUGGCGGGGUAACGGCCCACCAAGGCUACGAUCAGUAGGGGUUCUGAGAGGAAGGUCCCCCACAUUGGAACUGAGACACGGUCCAAACUCCUACGGGAGGCAGCAGUGAGGAAUAUUGGUCAAUGGACGGAAGUCUGAACCAGCCAAGUAGCGUGCAGGAUGACGGCCCUAUGGGUUGUAAACUGCUUUUGUAUGGGGAUAAAGUUAGGGACGUGUCUCUAUUUGCAGGUACCAUACGAAUAAGGACCGGCUAAUUCCGUGCCAGCAGCCGCGGUAAUACGGAAGGUCCAGGCGUUAUCCGGAUUUAUUGGGUUUAAAGGGAGCGUAGGCUGGAGAUUAAGUGUGUUGUGAAAUGUAGACGCUCAACGUCUGAAUUGCAGCGCAUACUGGUUUCCUUGAGUACGCACAACGUUGGCGGAAUUCGUCGUGUAGCGGUGAAAUGCUUAGAUAUGACGAAGAACUCCGAUUGCGAAGGCAGCUGACGGGAGCGCAACUGACGCUUAAGCUCGAAGGUGCGGGUAUCAAACAGG
rnacentral:rRNA from 1 species